UACGAAGUCCGUGCACACAUCAUCCGUCGGCACACGCACCUUUGCGCGCACACGGACCACCGACCAACAGAAGAUCGUAAAGGAAGGAUAUAAGGAGGAAAAAUCCGACGCGGGUGUUCGAGCAGUGCGAAGACCAAAGCAAUCGCUUGUCACGUUUAAUCGGACACGCGCGAUCGCGGCUCUUAAGUGAAAAAGGAUACGGGACGCACUGGAGAGAUACACGGUGUGGCCAGGUGCAAACGGUCCUUCCGGUUAGUCGUCCGUACCUCGGCCUCCAUCAUCGAGGAGUAACACGUGCAGAUCGUACGAUUCGAGGCGGUGACCGAGCACGGCAAAACCACGCAAGUCUCGUGAAUCCGAGAGAAUCGUCGAACGAUCACCCAACACCAGAUCUAAAUCUUCAACGCCACUGUCGACGUUGCUGUCGUCCAGUGGCGCAUCAUCAAGGAGUCGCGAGGCGUCGGCGGCAAAACGGCCGAUCGUGCGGACGUGCUGAGUACUAUUCCGCGGCUGCGAGUACCAGCAACAGCCCGAAGAUUCUCCCAGCAAAGGGCAAG
rnacentral:misc_RNA from 1 species